GACAGAGGGGGCAAGCGUUGCUCGGAAUCACUGGGCGUAAAGGGCGCGUAGGCGGGAUGGCAAGUCAGUCGUGAAAUCUCUCGGCUCAACCGAGAAACGUCGGCUGAUACUGCCGUUCUUGAGGGAUGCAGAGGAGACUGGAAUUCCCGGUGUAGCGGUGAAAUGCGUAGAUAUCAGGAGGAACACCGGUGGCGAAGGCGCACAUCUGGCCCGAUACUGACGCUGAGGCACGAAAGCGUGGGGAGCAAACAGG
rnacentral:rRNA from 1 species